GUACUGCCAUGGGUGACGGUGCGAAAGUCAUCAGGCCUGUGCCAUGGCCGCAAGUUAUUUGGCUGCUGUGGAUGUACCCUGGGAGACUGCAAAAGAUUUUUCUCUUUCAGAUGAUCCUGUGACUGUUAUUCCAAACAGACCUCCCCUGGCUGGGACCAGUUUGGUGUGUUCUGCCACAAGUGCCGAUACGAAAGCUGGGAAAAGCAUGGGGCUGCUCAUAGCCCGUGUUUCAGCCCUGGGAUCACAAGGGUUUCCUGUAAGUGAGGCAGAUUAGUUAGGAAACAACUCCUCAAACCUAUUAUCUGCCUCAUGUAAAAUCUCACUUGGAUUACCACCCACUUCAGGAAAGUGUCAAACUCAGCACUUGAUUAUCCAGUCCUCAGAGGACAGGAAAUGGCAGGGGGAGGUCUGGGGCUUUUACAAGCACUACCACUGGCUGUAAAAGCAAUACCACGUGGAACCAGGUUCAAGUUCAGUUCCAGGCUCCUCUCCUGGCACUGCAACAACACCACGGCUGCAGGAAAUUAGCUGAUGUCUUAAGGGUCUUGAUAAGACAGAGGAUGGUGACAACUGGGACAGUUUGUAUAUAUUUCUGGACCCACAGACAGAUGAGCAUUUGGGAAACUAGUCUGCUCACUGCCAACAGCUGCUAUGGAUUCAAGGCAAGUAAAGCGAGUGAUCACACUGGGCAACCCCCCAAAGUCAACACCCAUUCGAGAGACUACGAAAUGAAGAUGGCAAACGGAGCAGCGAGCAGGGAUGGCAGUCCUACUGACAUUCCAACUCAGCUGCUCUAAAACCUGGCACUAAGAAGCACCGCAGGUUCUUUGUCUCAUCUGCAUGCAGAUGAGUGGCAGCGUACCUGGGCUGUGUUUCUGCACUGAAAGCUGAAAGUCUCACCUUAUCCCAUAAAUGCACGAGCUGGAGCAUUAGGAAAUCUAUUAAAUACCGCAAGAUUUGAAACAGUAUCACCUGAAAAUGCUGGGCUCACUAGGAUGUCAGUCCAUGCCAGAAAUGGGAUUUCUAGCUCAUUAGUAGGUAACUACAGAAGAAUUACUUAAGGGAGGGAAUAACUCAGGCAAAAAGAAGAAGAAAAAAAAAAAAAGGUGGCAAGAUGCCA